GACGAACGCUGGCGGCGUGCUUAACACAUGCAAGUCGAACGGAAAGGCCCUGCUUGCAGGGUACUCGAGUGGCGAACGGGUGAGUAACACGUGGGUGAUCUGCCCUGCACUUCGGGAUAAGCCUGGGAAACUGGGUCUAAUACCGGAUAGGAGCCAUUUUUAGUGUGAUGGUUGGAAGGUUUUUUCGGUGUAGGAUGAGCUCGCGGCCUAUCAGCUUGUUGGUGGGGUAAUGGCCUACCAAGGCGGCGACGGGUAGCCGGCCUGAGAGGGUGGACGGCCACAUUGGGGCUGAGAUACGGCCCAGACUCCUACGGGAGGCAGCAGUGGGGAAUAUUGCACAAUGGGCGCAAGCCUGAUGCAGCGACGCCGCGUGGGGGAUGACGGCCUUCGGGUUGUAAACUCCUUUCGCUAGGGACGAAGCUUUUUGUGACGGUACCUAGAUAAGAAGCACCGGCUAACUACGUGC
rnacentral:rRNA from 1 species